rnacentral:rRNA from 1 species
GACGGAGGAUGCAAGCGUUAUCCGGAUUUAUUGGGUUUAAAGGGAGCGUAGGCGGGAUAGUAAGUCAGUGGUGAAAGCCUGAGGCUCAACCUCGGAACUGCCAUUGAUACUGCUAACCUAGAGUACAUUUGAUGUGGGCGGAAUGUGUCAUGUAGCGGUGAAAUGCUUAGAUAUGACACAGAACACCGAUUGCGAAGGCAGCUCACAAAACUGUAACUGACGCUGAGGCUCGAAAGCGUGGGGAUCAAACAGG